UUUUGAUAAUCGAAUAUUGUUUUAUUUUUUUGUUUUUGUUUUUAAAAAAAAUUCUUAAAAUUUGACGUUGAAAACGAUUAGAUUUGAUUUGAUGGAGAACAUUGUGUCAAUAUUAAUUAAACAUGGUGGCAAGUGAAAUUCAUCAGAGAUGCUUAUGUCAUUCCUGUUGAGCCUAUCCCAUGCGAGAGUACAUGGGAUAUACCAAGCUAUAUUUCAGAGCUUAAAAUGAUGCCACCUGGUCCAAAAAGAUCAGCGGGAAGACCCAAAUUUGAACACUGGAAGGGGUUCGCUGAUGUGAAAUUCAAGAGGACAAAAAGCACAUGCAGUAGAUGCCAUCAAGUUGGACAAAAAAGGAAUACAUGUUCAAAUUAUCCUGUACAAAAACAAUGAUUUCCUACUGUUACAUCUGUGUUUUUGAGUAUUUAAAUUGUUAGACACCUGUU